rnacentral:misc_RNA from 1 species
CAGGAUCAGAAAUAUAUCAUUUAAAAUUUUAAUUGAACGCAGCCACUCCCACAAUAUGAGAGUUCAGAUCAAGUUACAAGCUGAAACUGUGAAGGAAAACAGUAAUCUGUAGUCUUGCUUGUUUGUUGCCGCUGUUAAAGGCUCCAGAAUCCUUGUGAUGCUAGUUCUAAGAGGGAAAACCACUUCCAUUUUUACCAAAAUCACUCUUUUUGACCCAUCUCCAGGAUUGCAAUUGCAAUAUAAUUUCGUGGUUAAUUACAAUUACCAAUUGGCCAAUUGGGAUGAACUAUUUUAAUAAGAAAAAGAAAAAGAAUAAAGCAUCUAAAACAAACCUAAGAAACAUUUUGCAUUAAUUAACAUAUACAAAACAGGGGAACUAAUUUCUUUACAUAAUCUGGGUUGAUCUUGAUUAUCAACAAGGUGCAAACCUGUCCAUAAUCAUGCAAACUGUGGCCUCAGAAAUGGUAGUUUCUCUGUGAACCACUUUGCUCUCUUUACCAGCUUCCUUUUCUUCUUCAGCUACUACUCCUCCUUUGGCUUUUGACAAGAAUAGUAAUGGCUUCUUUGGCCUGACCUUCUCUUUAAGCUUAGCUAGCUCAGUCGCCCAUGUCUCCACUACUGCAGACAUUUCUGCCGAGAUGAACCUAAACCCAAUUCCUCUUCUUUGAAGUGCUUUUUGUUAAAUAUGAGAAUGGGCACAAGGCUAGCUAGAGGAUUUAUAGAGAAGUUGAGGAAAACCAAUGGAAAAUUCGGCCCUCUCAAGUUUUGUGGCAGUUGUUUUAGAAGGAGGACCAUAGAAAACCGCAUGUGG